rnacentral:rRNA from 1 species
AUGGCCCGGCCGCAGCAGCGGUACCGCGGCGUGCGGCAGCGCCACUGGGGCUCCUGGGUCUCCGAGAUCCGCCACCCUCUCCUGAAGACGCGGAUAUGGCUGGGCACUUUCGAGACGGCGGAGGACGCGGCGCGGGCGUACGACGAGGCGGCAAGGAUCAUGUGCGGCCAGCGCGCGCGCACCAACUUCCCCGCCGCCACCGGCAGCGUCUCCUCCUCCGCGGCCGUGGCGUCCUCGUUCCUCUCCGCCGCCCUCGUCGCGAAGCUGCACCGGUUCAACAUGGCGUCCGUGCAGGCCGCGCAGCGGCAGAGGGAGGCCGCCGCGGCCUCGGCCUCGGCGGCGGCUGCCACAGCGGCCGCAAUGCCGCCGGGCGCCGCCCACGCGGGGCCGACGCUGCCGUCGUCGACGGGGUGGGUCGGGACGCUCCUCGAGGAGAAGCACGUGGAGCAGAUGAUCGCGGAGCUGCUCGACUCCGACUUCUCCAUGGAGAUCUGCCAUUAG